GCCUCUACGGCGAAGCCGGCCGUGUGCGCGGCGGGUGCGCUCGGGGCGAGGCGGAGGGUCCGUGGGCGGGGGGCCGAGCUUCCCGGCGGCGAGGGGCGGCCUGCGGCGGGCAGCGGGUGACAGGCGGCGGGCGCCGCGCCGCGCGAGGAUGGGCCGGUCGCGGAGCCGGAGCUCGUCCCGCUCCAAGCACACCAAGAGCUCCAAGCACAACAAGAAGCGCAGCCGCUCGCGCUCGCGCUCGCGGGAUAAGGAGCGGGUGCGGAAGCGCUCCAAGUCCCGGGAGAGCAAACGGAACCGGCGGCGGGAGUCGCGCUCACGCUCGCGCUCCACCAACGCGGCGGCGUCCCGGCGCGAGCGGGAGCGCGCCUCGUCCCCGCCCGACCGCAUCGACAUCUUCGGGCGCACGGUGAGCAAGCGCAGCAGCCUGGACGAGAAGCAGAAGCGGGAGGAGGAGGAGAAGAAGGCGGAGUUCGAGCGGCAGCGAAAAAUUCGGCAGCAAGAAAUAGAAGAAAAACUCAUUGAGGAAGAAACGGCACGAAGAGUAGAAGAAUUGGUAGCGAAGAGGGUAGAAGAAGAGCUGGAGAAAAGGAAGGAUGAAAUUGAACGAGAAGUCCUCCGAAGGGUGGAAGAGGCCAAACGCAUCAUGGAAAAGCAGUUGCUCGAAGAACUCGAGCGACAGAGACAAGCUGAGCUUGCAGCACAAAAAGCUAGAGAGGUAACGCUCGGUCGUUUGGAAAGUAAAGACAGUCCAUGGCAAAACUUUCAGUGUCAGGUGUGCCUCCUGCUCAGUCCAGAACGAGAUGGAAUGCGACUUUCUAAUUCCUUUCUCAUCUAAAGUUACAUGGCUGCGAAAGAUAAUUUUUUAGCCAGAAGUGCUGACUGGUACUUAAAAGCUAUUUUCUUAAAACUUAUUCAAGGAUAUUUUUUUUGAUCUAACGGAACUGGCUUAUGUAUUUGAGAAGUGUUUGAAACUUUUGCCAUGGCUGCAGGACUACAUUCUUUUUUUGGGAGGGUAGGGGGAAGCCAGGGAGUGGAAAAGGGAAAAGGCUAAAAGUCCGCCUGCGGUUGCAUCUUCCUGUUUACCACUGUGACCUCGACUGAGAGCCUUUUGCCUUCAGUCAGAUUACAAAGAGCAGGGCCUCACUUUGAGUGACAGCUCCUGCUUUUGAUACACAGGUUUUCUCGCUCUUCUUUUUUUCCUUCUGUUAUCCCUCAUCCCUUCCCUAAAUCCUUUCAACACAGUGGACUAAUUCUAGCAUUUUGACUAUAAGGCCCUCCAUUUUCGUAAUGUGUUUCAAGGAAUCUUUUAUGGAAAAAUGUCCAGAUUGUUCAUCUUUUUUUUUUUUCCUUUUUUUUUUUUUUUUAAGUACCUACUAACAACUCCUUUUUUUCUCUAGAGAGUUAUGAAGGAACAGGUUGUCCUUGUCUGGAGUCAAGCUAAACACAUGAUUUGUUUUAUCAGCAGCUGGAGCAGAAGUUGAAAAUGUCUUUCUGUGAGACAGUAAUUUGCUACUGAAGCUUUAUGGCUUGUUUGCACUGAUUACUCCAGGAUCCUAAAGUGUGCGAAAGUCACGGAGACACUCAAGGCAAAUUGCUUCACAGCACUGAGUGUCUCUCCACAGUUUGCUAAUGAACAAAUGAAUUCGUGUGACACAGGAAAUUUGUAGUUACAUUGUCUUGAACAUAAAUUUAUAAAUAUUUGGCUUAAAUACAUGGCUUACUGUCAUCCUUCAUCCUGGCGUUACUGUGGACAAGUUGACAUUGUGUUAAGUCUGCUUUCUAGUAAGCUUUGCUUGUACAGUGCAUUUCCCUGGUCCUGUCUUAACUACAUAGACCUGUUUGUAGUUGUUCAUAUCAGUGCCUUUAAUAAUGGAGAUAUUUUUGGAGUAAUUGUGCUAUUUUGUAGCGAGUUAUUAAUCAUAGCAAGAUUUUUUUCUCUUCAUUUGCUUUUUGUUUCAUAUUAACAUUUUUUUUAACACGGACACAAUCCUCUGACAGUCUUCCCAAUACUAAAAUCAUUUGAGUAUGUAUGCUGUGAUCUGAACACUGCCCAAACCAUCAAGCAAUCUUCAUAUAGUUUGCAUUAUAAAACUUCAUUAAAUUCUCCAAGAAAAAAAUGACAGAAUUUUAUUUCCUGACUGUGCAUCCCCCGGAUUCCUGAAUUUCAGUGCAGACUGUAGAUGACAAUAUAAGCUGCCUUUAGUGGUUGUCAACAUCUGAUGUUAAGUCCAUGCCCCAUGGAAGCAGUCCUUAGUAUGGAUUACCAUUUGUAUUUUUCACUAACAGUAAAUGUAUUUUUCUUAUUAAUUGUUUGCCUUAGGAAUGAUGAAUUACAUUUUUUGUUCCUUCUUACCAUAAACAUCUGCAUUCCUCAGCUCAGCCUUCCUUGUAUGUUGUUUCUUUAUAAAUGGUUGAGCUGCUGAUGCAGGUAUUGCCAAGCUAACAGUACAAAUCAUUUUAAAGAGGAAGCUGGCGCGUAUGGCAGCCGAGGAGCACACUCUGCAGGACACUGGACAAGACAGAGGAAGAACGAGCAAAGCGUGAGGAGCUGGAGCGGAUAUUAGAAGAAAAUAACCGGAAAAUCGCAGAAGCACAGGCCAAACUGGCUGAAGAACAGUUGAGAAUUGUUGAAGAACAAAGAAAGAUUCAUGAGGAAAGGAUGAAA